UUACUUUGAUAGGACCGCAGCCCUGUCAAACCAUUUGCCUUUUUAAAUGUUCUUUUGCUCGAGGGUGCAGUUUUACAGCGUAAGUUCCUGGCGGGAGCAUUGCUCAUUUGCCCUGCUCUGAAUACAAGUUUAGAUAGAGAGAGAGAGCGCGCGCGUGAGGGUGUGAGGGUCACCAAUGGCCUGUGCGUUGCGGCUCCAGGCGUCACCCUUCCUGCGAACCCUGCUCUCAUUCCUAUGUCCAACACCAAAACCCCAUACAUGUUAUCGCCUUAACCGGAACCCUAAUUUCUCUCUCUUGUUGCGCACUCGUUCCACCUUUGCAACUCCCAUGACUCCUGUAAUGCAGGCCAGAAGAGAAUUUUGUUUGGAAGAGGACGGAAUCGCUACACCUGCUGAUUUGAGUUAUGAGGCUCCCUUGAAAAUUGUUGAGUAUCCUGAUCCAAGACUCAGAGUAAGAAACAAGCGUGUCAGUGUAUUCGAUGAGAAUCUCAAGGAAUUAGUUGCUGAGAUGUUUGAUGUUAUGUACAAAACUGAUGGCAUUGGGCUAUCAGCACCCCAAGUGGGAAUCAAUGUUCAAUUAAUGGUUUUCAAUCCUGCUGGAGAACGUGGAGAAGGAGAGGAGCUGGUCCUUAUUAACCCGAAAGUUUACAAAUAUUCAAAAAAGUUGGUCCUGUUUGAUGAGGGAUGCUUAUCAUUUCCUGGGAUUUAUGCAGAUGUAGAGAGACCUACUUCGGUAAAGAUUGAUGCUCGAGACAUUACUGGGGCAAAGUUUUCGGUCCAUUUAAAAGGUCUUCCUGCACGGGUUUUCCAGCAUGAGUUUGACCACUUGCAGGGAAUUCUUUUCUUUGAGAGAAUGACAGAAGAAGUUCUAGAGAGUAUUCGUCCAGGUUUACAGGCCUUGGAAAAGAAGUAUGAAACUCUGACUGGAUUGCCGAGUCCAGAAAGCAUCACUAAACGUCAAGGAAUAAAGGCGAUAGCUGGUUUUGGAGCUCCAUGAAGAGACUUUACUAGCAUUCUUGCUACAGGCACUAUUUGUGGGAGAACUGAAGUGGGCGAAUAUGCAUUCUCAUAUUUAAGAGGUUUAUGUGAUUCAACUAUCAAAAGAGACAAAAGAUGAGUGUAUUCCAUCUGUAUUGAGGCUGUUUCCAGGUGAUGAAAUGGUGAGGUUCAAGACUUCGACGCCUGUGCAGCUAUCAAGCUUUAGGUGACAUUGAGGACUGUUUUGAAUUCUGAUGUCUCGAACAGUCACAUUAAAGCUCCCAUAAAAUCUUAGAGCCUGUCAAAAAAUUAAGCUAAAUUAAAUUAGAUUGAAGUGCCAAACUCGAGCUCCGAUAAAAUCUUGGAGCUUGGCAAUUACAUUAAAUUUAAGUCUUUUGUAAGAUAAAAACUUUUAAAUGGCUAUAUUUUAGUGUACAGUUUGCGCUGUGAGGGUUUCCAUUCUUUAGAAACUGCACCUUCACAUGAUAUGGCAAGAGUUUCGAUUUCUUUUCUCUGGAGUUUGGAGGAAAAAAAAAAAAAAAAA